GCUCCCUCGGCUCCUCUCCUCCUCACCUCCGCCUCCUCCACCUCCGCCUCGCAUCGCUGGCCUCAGCCGCCGCCGACCAGCGCAGCAGGAGGUGAGCAGAGUGGAAGUGCAUCCCAUGUAACGUCUGGGAACGGCCUUGCAGGGGUUUGGCACCUCGUGCAGGAAUGAGCACAUGCAGAAGGUCAGAUUUAUAGUGAGUGGGGCUGCACUGAGCCUCCUCUGUCUGCUGGGGGAGGACUCAGAGGAGGACAUUAAAGUUUAUCGCUGGAGUCCAGGUGCCAGCCAUCACACUCACUGCUUCAUGCCCCACGUUCUGAGUCUUUUGGGACGGAAACAGGAAAAAGGACUCCAGUCAGAUACGGCGAUCGUACGAUAAAUGGUGGAUUUCAGCUUUCCAGUUGGAGGAAUAAUGGACUAGUGUUAGGGACCUGGUGCUGUCAGAGAUGGCCAGUCGUUUCAUUUUGGAGGCUUCUAUGGGGCAUCAGAGCUUUCUAUCCAGAAGAUCACGCAGAUGCAUUGGACUGGUUAAUGCUCCUUUCUUUGUCAAAUAGAUAUUUCCCAUUGCUAAAGGCUUCCCAGCUCUUUCCCUUCUUUACACAAUGCACAAGUCUUGUGCUGUAGGCGCUGCAAACAUUUAACCUGCAGCUUUUAUUAAGAUGGGGAUGCCAGAACAUUUCCACUGCUGCUCAAAGAUAUUUCAACAAGCAUGAUUUUAUGAAAGCAGUUCAUCUUCAGCAGCGCUGUGCUCUGAUAGGAAAGGGAACUGUUGGCUUUAUGAAAGUGGAAAUGAUGCAGCCCUUUCAUUUUUACAUCUGGAAGUUCUGUAGUUCUACCUGCAUCAUCUCAUUGUUCUUAUAAGACAUGCAAGUAUGUCUGUGUAGUAAUUCACGGUGGAUGUGCCCACUCCUACUAAGGCAUUGAAUUCUGGUCUGCUCUAGAUGGGGUCCUUCAGUUGUAUGUUUUUCUUGUCUUUGUGCACUCACACCAGCUCUGAAAUGAGUGAUGGAAAAGAAAGCACGAGUGAAAUGACAAAGUUGAUAAAAUCAUCACCACUGCGGAGAUGUUACAGAAGGAACUUUCGCUUAUUAUGCCUCACAAGAAAAAAACCAAAGACACAAAGAAAUGAUCAGAGGAGGAGGUUUAAGAUGAAAAAAACAACCAAAAAACCCCAUGGUUUCCCACAGAAUAAUUAAACCGAAUCCGUUGUGAAAGUGAUGGAAUUCAAAAUGAAAUGAAGUUAAAAAUGGAUGAGUACAUGAAGGAUAGGUUUGUUUACUUGCCAUUAACCAUGGGUGUUCCACUGAGCUUCCCCAAAGCCCCACUGCUGACAGCCAGGAGCAUCCACCAGUGAGAAGUGACUCUCCUGGCACCUCUCCCACCUGCUCUGCUUUGGGCAGGGCGCUGUGCUGGAAGGACGUAGAGCUGCUCAGCAUCUUCACAUAGAUCUGUCCACACCAUGCAGAUGCCUGCUUCCAUAUACAGGGGUAUGGAUAUGCACUCCCAGCUCCACAUACAGAGGUCUGGAUCCAAAAGCCCAUCCAGAUACAGCUGGAAAUUCAGGUGCGUGUUCAGCUUGGAAAGGCAAGCUUCAGGAGGCAGCAAGUUAAAAGGUGAGAGUCUCAACCAUAGGCUUUUUUUAAAGGCAUCUUUCUCGAAAAGAUACUAUGCAGAAUAUUUCUUAAAUAUGCAUUUUGAUUAAUAAUCUGUUCUAUCUAAGCUAUAAAACGUGUUGUGCAACAUGACUGAACGAAUAUUGCUGUGAGAAAUGUUUCCCUUUGUUUGAGUCAUUUAAAUUUGUAAGCUAAUGUAAGUUUUUGUAUUAAAUAAUGUACUGUGUGCAAUCUUCUUUCUUGUAAAGCACUUUGAAGCUUUCGAAGGGCACUCUAGGUUAAUAAAUAAUAUGGCACUCUUUGCCAGAACUGUA